rnacentral:rRNA from 1 species
CCUACGGGGUGCUGCAGUAGGGAAUAUUGCUCAAUGGGGGAAACCCUGAAGCAGCAACGCCGCGUGGAGGAUGAAGGUUUUCGGAUUGUAAACUCCUUUUGUUAGAGAAGAUAAUGACGGUAUCUAACGAAUAAGCACCGGCUAACUCCGUGCCAGCAGCCGCGGUAAUACGGAGGGUGCAAGCGUUACUCGGAAUCACUGGGCGGAAAGAGCGCGUAGGCGGGAUAGCAAGUCAGAUGUGAAAUCCUAUGGCUUAACCAUAGAACUGCAUUUGAAACUGUUAUUCUAGAGUAUGGGAGAGGUAGGUGGAAUUCUUGGUGUAGGGGUAAAAUCCGUAGAGAUCAAGAGGAAUACUCAUUGCGAAGGCGACCUGCUAGAACAUAACUGACGCUGAUGCGCGAAAGCGUGGGGAGCAAACAGGAUUAGAUACCCUUGUAGUC